rnacentral:lncRNA from 1 species
AUUGCAAGAAGUUCUUGAGCUGAAUUCCUGUUGUGACAACUGCCUAUGUGGUGAAGCAGUAUUUUCCAAUUUGAAGAUUCAUUUGAAGGUGGCUCCUGCCACCUGCUAAUAGCAGUUCAAACUAAAUUUUUUCUAUCAAGUUCCCGAAUGGAAGUAUGACGUUGGGUCCCUCUGAAGUUUAAUUCUGAGUUCUCAUUAAAAGAAUUUGCUUUCAUUGUUUUAUUUCUUAAUUGCUAUGCUUCAGUAUCAAUUUGUGUUUUAUGCCCCCC